rnacentral:rRNA from 1 species
GUGCCAGCCCGCGGUAAUACCGGCAGCCCGAGUGAUGGCCGAUCUUAUUGGGCCUAAAGCGUCCGUAGCUGGCUACGCAAGUCCGUCGGGAAAUCCACUCGCCCAACGAGUGGGCGUCCGACGGAAACUGCAUAGCUUGGGACCGGAAGGCUCGAAGGGUACGUGCGGGGUAGGAGUGAAAUCCCGUAAUCCCGAACGGACCACCGAUGGCGAAAGCAUCUCGAGAAAACGGAUCCGACAGUGAGGGACGAAAGCUAGGGUCUCGAACCGGAUUAGAUACCCCGGUAGUCC